AACGAACGCUGGCGGCAUGCCUAACACAUGCAAGUCGAACGAACUCUUCGGAGUUAGUGGCGCACGGGUGCGUAACGCGUGGGAAUCUGCCCUUGGGUACGGAAUAACUCAGAGAAAUUUGUGCUAAUACCGUAUAAUGACUUCGGUCCAAAGAUUUAUCGCCCAAGGAUGAGCCCGCGUAAGAUUAGCUAGUUGGUGGGGUAAAAGCCUACCAAGGCGACGAUCUUUAGCUGGUCUGAGAGGAUGAUCAGCCACACUGGGACUGAGACACGGCCCAGACUCCUACGGGAGGCAGCAGUGGGGAAUAUUGGACAAUGGGCGAAAGCCUGAUCCAGCAAUGCCGCGUGAGUGAUGAAGGCCUUAGGGUUGUAAAGCUCUUUUACCCGGGAUGAUAAUGACAGUACCGGGAGGAAUAAGACUCCGGCUAACUCCGUGCCAGCAGCCGCGGUAAU
rnacentral:rRNA from 1 species